AAGGGUAAUACUGUAAUUUAAAUAUUCGAUUUUCUUUUCGCCAAAAAAACCAAAUUCGAUUUUUUUUUUAUUAAGCGCUUUGUUCUUCUGUUCGGAAAAUUUCAACCAGGGCUUUGGUUUGCAAUGGCUUCUUCAAGGAUUUGGAUUCCAUCGAUUUCUUCUAUAAUUAUGUUAACGUGCUUCAAUUUCUAUUUUCAUUUUUUUGUCUCUAUGUCUGAUUCUGAUUGUAGGUAUGAGUUGUGAAUUCUUGAGCUUUUGUUUUUUCGACGAUAUUGAAUUUCAUAUAAUUGUGAAUACUUGAGCUUACUAAAAUUAGGGUUUUGCUAUAGAAUGCAUCUCUUUGGUUAAAAAAAUCUCGGCACCAAGGGGUUCAGAUAUAGUCAGAUAAGGUUCUAGUGUAUUGUUUAUAGAUAUUAUUGGUUAAGCUCAUUUGGAAUUGUGCUGCUGUUUAGUGGAAAACAAAGGUGUGAUUUGCUCUAUAUGGUGUUUCACCUUAAAAUCUAAUGGGUUAGCCUUACUUAGUCCACAUUCAUGUUCUUAACCUGUUAAUAGACAGACUGACAAAGCAAGAUGAGUUUAUCCAUAGUUUGACAUGAGAAAAGGUUUUUUUCUGUUUGUUAGCUGCUCUGCUACUUAAUAACUUAUCAGUUGCUUCAUUUUAAGUCUUGGUUUGGUUGACAAUGGGAGCAAUUCUAGAGUCAUGUAGAUUUGGUUUUUUGUAUUUUUGACCAUGUUUAAUGCCCCUUGAGAUUAUAGAAACACAUAGCUAUGGUUGUGUUUUUAUUCUGACCAAUUCUAUGAAGUUGUUGAACUAGCCGUCUUGGCUGAUGACAUCUAUGACGAAUAUUUCAUUUUUAAACAAUUAAAUCCACUUUAGUUAAUCUUUACAUUCCAUUUGUCUAUAAGAUCGAGUUUUUUUUUUUUUUUUUUUUGAGUAGCUUCAUAUUUNCAAGAGUUUGACUUUUCAGAAGUUUCGUGAUACCUUCCAAGACGAGACUUGGUAUAAAAAAUCUCAAGCAACCAGCUUGUGGAAAUCCCCAGGAAUUAGUGGAGAUAAAGGUUUUGACUUUUAACAAGAUUCUUCACUCAAUGAUAUAAAGAGAAGAUGAGUGCCAUGGUUUCUCUGUGCUGAUUUGGUUACAAUGAAAUUCUCUUACAAAGCUUUUUUCCUGAUCUUAGUUGAAAGAAGCUAGACUUUGGUUUAGGCUUUUAAGAUUGUCUAGGCCUCGUGCUUAGGUUUCAUCAUCCACCAUGUCUGCUUCUUCGUCUUCUUCUUUAUUGUCCUCUAUUCAACGGAGAUAUGACGUCUUUUCAAGCUUCAGUGGUCAAGAUGUCCGUCGAAACUUUCUCAGCCACUUGCUCGGUGAAUUUAAUCGCAAAGGAAUCAACACAUUUGUAGAUAAUCAAAUCAGGAGGAGUGAGUCCAUCGGCCCUGAGCUUGUACAAGCUAUACGAGCAUCGAGGAUUGGCGUCGUCAUCCUCACGAAGAACUAUGCUUCAUCAACCUGGUGUUUAGACGAGUUGUUGGAGAUUAUGGAAUGCAGGAAGACUGCAGAUCAAAAGGUAAUACCAAUUUUCUAUGAUAUGGAUCCAUCUGAUGUAAGGAAACAGACUGGAGACUUUGGAACUGCCUUCGAGAGAACAUGUGAGGGAAAAACAGAGGAGCAGAAGCAAAGUUGGAGGAAAGCUUUGACUGAUGUUGCUAACAUAGGCGGCGAGCAUUCACACAAUUGGGAUAGCGAAGCUGCUAUGAUGUUAAAAAUUGCCACAGAUAUUACUAACAUAUUGAACUUCACACCGUCGAGGGAUUUCGAUCAUUUAGUUGGAAUGGAAGCUCAUAUAGCAAAGAUGAAUUCUUUGUUAUGUAUGGAAUCUAAUGAGGUGAGGGUCGUUGGGAUUUGGGGUCCUGCAGGAAUUGGCAAAACCACAAUUGCUAGAGCGUUAUACGGACGAUUGUCUGGCGACUUUCAACUUAGUGUUUUUAUGGAGAAUGUUAAGGGAAGUUAUAGCAGAAAUGACCGCUACAGCUCGAAAUUGCAGUUGCAGGAACAAUUUCUCUCUGAAAUGCUCAACCUCAAGGACAUGAGGAUAAAUCAUUUAGGUGUUGCAGAGGAGAGGCUAAAGUCUCAAAAAGUGUUUAUCGUUCUUGAUGAUGUCGAUAAACUGGAGCAACUAGAAGCUUUAGCAAAUGAACCUCGGUGGUUUGGUGCUGGAAGUAGGAUUAUAGUGACCACUGAGCACAAAGAGCUUUUUAAGGGGCAUGGUGUCAACCAUAUUUAUGAGGUGAAUUUUCCAUCUGGAAAUGAAGCUCUACAAAUGUUUUCUCAAUCUGCUUUUAAACAAGAUUAUCCGCCGGAAGGAUUCAUGGGGCUUGCAAUUGAAGUUACAAAAUUCGCUAAUCGUCUUCCAUUAGGACUUUGUGUUCUAGGCUCAUCAUUGCGAGGUAAAAGCAAAUGUGAGUGGACACGUGAACUGCCUAGCCUAAAAGCCAGUCUUCAUGGUGACAUUGAGAAGAUACUAAGAGUCGGAUACGAUAGCUUAGGUGAUGAUGAUAAAUAUAAAACGAUAUUUCUCCAUAUUGCAUGCUUAUUCGAUGGUGAAGGAGAAGAUCGGGUGAUUCAGCUUCUUGAAAACAGCACUCUUGACAUUAAAUUUGGACUUGGUGUUCUUGUCGACAGAGCUCUUAUUAAUAUAUCCAGUGACAAAUGUAUCACGAUGCACCAUUUGCUACGACAAAUGGGCAGAGAAAUUGUUCGUAGACAAUCUGCUCAUGAGCCUGGGAAACGUCAAUUCCUUAUAGAUGCCCAGGAGAUUUAUGAUGUUCUUUCUGAUAACACUGGUACAGAAAGUGUUUUAGGCAUAUCUUUCAACAUGUCUGAAAUCCGGGAGUUGUUCCUUGGCGAGAGAGCCUUCAGUGGGAUGCAUAAUCUCCAAAUUCUAAGAUUCUAUAAACUAUGGUCCGAUAAGGCCAUAGUGCAUUUACAUGAAGGUUUGGAUUGUUUGCCUCUACCUCGUAAACUUAAAUUACUUCAUUGGGAGGGAUGUCCUAUGAAACAUAUGUCUUUUCGGUUUCGUCCGGAAUGUCUCAUUGAAAUCAACAUGAAAUGGAGUAACUUGAAGAAGCUCUGGGAAGGAGUCCCGAUGCUAAGAAGUCUAAAAAAGAUGGAAUUGAGUGGCUCCACUAGUCUGGAAGAACUUCCUGACCUUUCAGAAGCAUUAAAUUUGGAGCAUUUGGAUAUGCAGAAUUGCCACAGUUUGGUCAAGCUUCCUUCCUCUAUCUGGAAACUUAGUCGGUUAACUUUCUUACACCUUUACGGCUGCAGAAAUUUAGAGCCUCUUCCAGCAAACUACGCAUUGGAUUCUCUAAGUUACCUCAACAUUGGUGAAUGCUCAAAAAAUGUAGUUUUCCCAGAGAUUUCUAGUGAAAUUAAAAAACUCAGUGUGUCCUUUACCCCGAUAUCAGCAGUGCCUCCAUCAGUUGAUUAUUGGAGUUGCCUUCGUACUUUGGAAAUGAUUGGUUGUGGAAACGUUACAGAAUUUCCACGUGUGCCGUAUACCGUCUCUAAGUUACAUCUGCACUUAUCAGGAAUUAAAGAAAUUCCUCCAUGGAUCUCGGAUCUCUAUGGUCUGAAAGAGUUGUCGAUGGCAUUUUGCACGGAGCUACGAUAGAUCUCGCCAAACAUUUGUGAGCUAGGACAACUCGAGUCACUUAAUUUUAAAGGCUGCUACAAUGUAAGGGAAUUCCCUGCAGAAAUCUUCCAGAGCUUCUGUAUAUGGCAUGAGUUGGAGUUGACAUUGGUCAACAUUGACGAGAACAGUUUGCCUACUUAUACUCCUGAGAAGACUGAAGAUUUCCCCUUAAGGUUGUAUAUGACUGAGAAUGACUUCGUCAGUAUUCCAGAUUCUGUUGUUCAGCAGGUAGAAUUCCUUUAUCUUAGAGACUGCAGAGAACUUGUGUCGCUACCAGAGCUUCCUGGCUCGUUGUCACAAUUGUACGCGGAUAAUUGUGUUUCUCUUGAAAGGUUAUCUCAGUCUUCUCGUUCAUCUCACGAUCCAAAGCUCAUUCUCAAGUUCAUCAACUGCUCAGAACUGGAUCAAGAAUCACGUAAACUAGUCAUCCAGCAAUGGGCCUGUGGAUAUGCAGUCCUACCUGGUAGUGAAGUGCCCGACUACUUUACUCACCAAGCUAGAAGAAGUUCUCUAACCAUCCUUUUAAGCCAGGGGAACUCAUAUGGAUCCUUGAGAUUCAAGGCUUGUGUUGUUCUCCCCCCAAGGGAUGAGCUCGAUGAUGGGACGUUUCGUCGUUUCCAAAUAUCAUGCUACGUGAGAGGCAGACAUUCCACCACCGUGUAUAAAUGGCCAGAGAUAGAUGUAGAUGAUUCAGAUGAUCGGCUUCUGGAGAACCAUCUGUUUAUAGUCAACUCAUAUUUCACGCUUGAGGAAGACAACAUCCCCGAAAGUGAGAUGCUUUUUUAUUUCAGAUGCUUGGGAAUGAAAGAAUAUCCAGACACCAUAUCCUCCAAUAUAUUGGGAUGUGGUGUACAACUCUUGGAGCCUUGUUCCUGUGAAUAUGACUCAGACGCUCACCCUGAGCUGUCAACUACUUCGCUCGAGGAGGAAGUUGAAUGCAACAACAACAUCAUUGCAAAGACAAAGGGAAGCAAUAAACGAGAGCGGUCAAGUGUUGCAGACAGACUAGAGAGGACAAGCAAGAAUCUGAGAAUUACCAACUGAGAAAGAUUGGGGAAAAAAUCUGAAGUCACCAACAUUUACUCUUCAUACGAUAUAGAGUUUAUGUCAAUCUGCUAAUCUUGAGCAUCAUCCAACAAUCCUCAUUACAUGCAUUCACCCACCAAUGCAGACGAUUGAAUUUAAACAUCA